rnacentral:ncRNA from 2 species
CGUGCCCGCCGCGACUGGCGAAGGUGGAUCACCACCGGGGAGCGGCAGUUGAGCCCGUCCUUCCCCGCGUACGCGUCGACCGCCUGGGCGCCUGCG